GUCGUAGACCCGAAACCAGGUGAUCUACCCAUGUCCAGGGUGAAGUUCAGGUAACACUGAAUGGAGGCCCGAACCCACGCACGUUGAAAAGUGCGGGGAUGAGGUGUGGGUAGCGGAGAAAUUCCAAUCGAACCUGGAGAUAGCUGGUUCUCCCCGAAAUAGCUUUAGGGCUAGCCUUAAGUGUAAGAGUCUUGGAGGUAGAGCACUGAUUGGACUAGGGGUCCUCAUCGGAUUACCGAAUUCAGUCAAACUCCGAAUGCCAAUGACUUAUCCUUAGGAGUCAGACUGCGAGUGAUAAGAUCCGUAGUCAAAAGGGAAACAGCCCAGACCGCCAGCUAAGGUCCCAAAGUGUGUAUUAAGUGGAAAAGGAUGUGGAGUUGCUUAGACAACUAGGAUGUUGGCUUAGAAGCAGCCAUCAUUUAAAGAGUGCGUAAUAGCUCACUAGUCGAGUGACUCUGCGCCGAAAAUGUACCGGGGCUAAAUACACCACCGAAGCUGCGGAUUGAUACCAAUGGUAUCAGUGGUAGGGGAGCGUUCUAAGGACAGUGAAGUCAGACCGGAAGGACUGGUGGAGUGCUUAGAAGUGAGAAUGCCGGUAUGAGUAGCGAAAGACGGGUGAGAAUCCCGUCCACCGAAUGCCUAAGGUUUCCUGAGGAAGGCUCGUCCGCUCAGGGUUAGUCAGGACCUAAGCCGAGGCCGACAGGCGUAGGCGAUGGACAACAGGUUGAUAUUCCUGUACCACCUCUUUAUCGUUUGAGCAAUGGAGGAACGCAGAAGGAUAGAAGAAGCGUGCGAUUGGUUGUGCACGUCCAAGCAGUUAGGCUGAUAAGUAGGCAAAUCCGCUUAUCGUGAAGGCUGAGCUGUGAUGGGGAAGCUCCUUAUGGAGCGAAGUCUUUGAUUCCCCGCUGCCAAGAAAAGCUUCUAGCGAGAUAAAAGGUGCCUGUACCGCAAACCGACACAGGUAGGCGAGGAGAGAAUCCUAAGGUGUGCGAGAGAACUCUGGUUAAGGAACUCGGCAAAAUGACCCCGUAACUUCGGGAGAAGGGGUGCUUUCUUAACGGAAAGCCGCAGUGAAUAGGCCCAAGCGACUGUUUAGCAAAAACACAGCUCUCUGCGAAGCCGUAAGGCGAAGUAUAGGGGGUGACACCUGCCCGGUGCUGGAAGGUUAAGGAGAGGGGUUAGCGUAAGCGAAGCUCUGAACUGAAGCCCCAGUAAACGGCGGCCGUAACUAUAACGGUCCUAAGGUAGCGAAAUUCCUUGUCGGGUAAGUUCCGACCCGCACGAAAGGUGUAACGAUUUGGGCACUGUCUCAACCAGAGACUCGGUGAAAUUAUAGUACCUGUGAAGAUGC
rnacentral:rRNA from 1 species